UCUCUGGUGGCUCAGAUGGUAAAGCGUCUGCCUGCAGUGCAGGAGACUCAGGUUCGAUCCCUGGGUCGGGAA
rnacentral:tRNA from 1 species